AAUCCCUUGAUGGGGAAUGCGGACAAAAUCACGGAUAUUCCCUUUCAGGAGGUACUUGCGCCAGAGUUCCGGUUGGUGACUCGCAUUCAGUGACGCGCCUAGCUCAUCUACGUUGCGUUCAGCAGUAAGACGGGCAGCAGGAAUCCACAUGCGCGUGCAAUUCUUUGCGUCGACAGCUGUCGGGAGCGUCACAAGAGCCUUCUGGCGACGUUCAUCUUCCGUGGCGUCAGGAUCAUCGUAGCGAUCGAUGCUCUCUUCAAACGCGUUGUCAUCGGGAACAGGGCGGCUAGGCGCAGACGGCCUGGUCGCCGGGCGUGCUGGCUUAGCUUGCCGGGGGGGCGGGUGAGCCUGGUGUUGCGCGUGCGUAGCACGAGAGGCGGUAACCAUAUCGUCCAGUUUAGGAGUAGGCGCAGCGAGGCAGAUCAACUGUUGUGGGAGCAAGAACUGCCCNCAACUUCUUCUCAAANGGCCGAGCGGCAAACGCGUGGAUCAGCGCGUCCAGUGAGAAGACAGCACUACAGUGUAGGGAUGCCUUAGCUGAGUAGAAGGAACUAGUCCGACUAACACCAACAACGACUUCGAAGCGGUCUGUACAGGCCCACUAGCACCCACCUAGAAAGGGGGAGAACGGAGGGUCUUCUGAAACAGAGAACCAACCGCCCUAGUGCCUUAACGCACGUACUGCUCAGCAGCAGUGGGACACUCGGCUUGUGAAUGCGCUGGUACAGACCGAAGUCACGGAUCGAAGUAGUAAACCUUGGGUACGCUAGUCUUCCGCAAGGAGAGACUAGGAGCGACGGAGGCUUGGUAGCGGCUCUCAACAGCACUCCGUGAAGAGGAACUGUCGGUUGCGGCAAGUCGCGGAAGCGGCGGUCAGCACUCUGCGAAGAGGAACUGGCGAGCGGCGGAAGCGAGGGUUGGCGGCGGCAGCAGCAGCACUCCAGCGGAGGAACUGACAGCGGCGGCGGCGGCGGGAAGUCUUCUUGGACGAAGACGGGGCAGGAUCGGGCAAUUGUGCUCGAGCCGGCAAAUUUCGGAAUGGGGAGUUUGGCUGGGGCGGCACAUCUGUUAAAUGAUAACACAGGUGUCCUAAGGUGAGCUCAAUGAGAACAGAAAUCUCAUGUAGAACAAAAGGGUAAAAGCUCACUUGAUUUUGAUUUUCAGUAUGAAUACAAACCGUGAAAGCGUGGCCUAUCGAUCCUUUAGUUCUUUUGAAUUUUAAGCUAGAGGUGUCAGAAAAGUUACCACAGGGAUAACUGGCUUGUGGCAGCCAAGCGUCCAUAGCGACGUUGCUUUUUGAUUCUUCGAUGUCGGCUCUUCCUAUCAUUGCGAAGUAGAACUCGCCAAUUGUUGGAUUGUUCACCCACUAAUAGGGAACGUGAGCUGGGUUUAGACCGUCGUGAGACAGGUUAGUUUUACCCUACUGAUGAGUUCGUUGUCUAAACAGUAAUCCAACCCAGUACGAGAGGAACCGUUGGUUCAGAUAAUUGGUAACUGCGGUUAGCUGAAAAGCUAGUGCCGCCAAGCUACCAUCUGUAGGAUUAUGGCUGAACGCCUCUAAGUCAGAAUCCAUGCUGGAAUAGACGAUAAUCACCUUUCCCGAUGUACCGCGAAUAGCGAUAGGUGUCUUCUGGGCACCCAACAUCAUACAAUUGCAACGCACUCCUCUGCCUGUCAAGUACUGGUGGUGGUGAGUAGGCUGAUUUGUAAUUUCAAAUAUUGGGAAAGAUAAAUCCUUUGUAGACGACUUAACUAAAGAACGGGGUGUUGUAAGCAUGAGAGUAGUCUUGUACUACGAUCUGCUGAGAUUUAGCCCUUGUUCUAUUGAUUUGU
rnacentral:ncRNA from 1 species